AAAGAAUUAGUUAAAACAUAACAUGAUUUUGUCAGGAUCAAAUUAUCAUAAGAUAUUUUUUA
rnacentral:tRNA from 1 species